GGUUUGAUGGCGUAGUUGGUUAUCGCAUCUGUCUAACAUCUUGACCUUUUCCAGUGUUUCACAGAAGGUCCCCGGUUCGAGCCCGGGUCAAAUCA